UGGGGAUUAGGACCGUGAACCCCAUGCUCUGCACACGCUUGGGGCACCUUCCUUCACGAUGUUGACUCUGGAUUGGUGUGAACGGAGGCUUUUGGAAAUGCUGGAGAGUUAAUAUACUGGAGCACAUCCGGCUCCAUGCGAGAAUUUGCUUCUCGAGGCUGCCGUCGGCCGACGCAGAAACCCGACUCUCAUUUUGCUUGAUCGGCCUGUUAUAUAUUCAGCGGGCGGGCGGCAUGUCAGAUGGAUGGAGACACGUGCUUGGAAAAUGACCUGAGUAAUACCGACAGCAGCUCCCUCUCCCUCCUGUGUCCUCCGUGCGGCAUUUUGACCAAGCUUCAACUGUCACCUGCAGUCCGUCAAGUCGGCUCACCCCAACAACCCUGCACGCUAGAAGAGUUAUUUCUGCUUCUGAGCCCACAGACUCGAUUGCUCGUGGCCCGUCGCUUACGUCAACGACGCCAGGAGCUCCACCUGAGUUUGCGGAUCGCAGAUGGAGAGCUCGUUAUGGACAAGGAACGUGUCUACCAACUCUGUGGUAUCAUACUUACCCGAGCGCUUAGUACAGCGUUAUGUAUAUAGUCGCGGCUCGACAGAUACCACCGACGGACUGCUUCUGAUGUGUGGGCCACGCAUGAGGAGAGCGUGCAAUGGAGGCAUGAUAAAUGCUAGCCCUGGUGCUGAACCACUACUUGAGGACGUGAUAAACAUGUCUCCAAUGAGGCGCUCCAUGGGAUCCAACCCGGACGACGUCACACAGAUCGUCCCGCAAGCGGAGAGGUGCAGGGGUAAUCUCAUCCGGUCUCCAACUUCGCACAUCAGCUCCUGACGCUCAGAUGGCUCCGCGCGUGCCCUCUCCCGCUCCCAGCCCUUAAGCGUUCUCCCCGCCGCUAGCGUUUCACAUCCUGGAGACUCGAGUACCUAUCGGAGCCUUUUCUCUAGGCGUAAACAGACAGACACGGAUAAGGACAGACGAUUUAGAAAGCAAAUGGACAAAUGUGAUCCGGAAGAGCACAUCUCUGUUCAGUUGAACUGGAACAUAAAUCAAAUACUACAAUAAACCACUUGGACUUCGGUGAGUGAACAACGGCGGCAGGAUAACUAGACGACGACUGCGGGGAGAGUUGAAAUUGGGAAACUGGAAAAAAAAGGAGCACAGAGGAAAUGUUUUAAGGACCCUGUCCAACCUGAAUCACUUAU